AGUUGCACGAGUUCAUACUCGUAGCAUAUAGCUCAGUAACACGUGGUCAAGCUACCCUGCAGACACGGACAACCUCGGGAAACUGAGGCUAAUCCGCGAUACCGAUCCCACGCUGGAAUGCCGGGAUCCACAAACGCUCCGGCGCUGCAGGAUGCGGCUGCGGCCGAUUAGGUAGACGGUGGGGUAACGGCCCACCGUGCCGAUAAUCGGUACGGGUUGUGAGAGCAAGAGCCCGGAGACGGAAUCUGAGACAAGAUUCCGGGCCCUACGGGGCGCAGCAGGCGCGAAACCUUUACACUGCACGCAAGUGCGAUAAGGGGACUCCGAGUGCGAGGGCAUAUAGUCCUCGCUUUUGAGAACCGUAAGGCGGUUCUCGAAUAAGAGCUGGGCAAGACCGGUGCCAGCCGCCGCGGUAAUACCGGCAGCUCAAGUGAUGGCCAAUCUUAUUGGGCCUAAAGCGUCCGUAGCUGGCCACGAAAGUCCGUCGGGAAAUCCAUCUGCCCAACAGAUGGGCGUCCGGCGGAAACUUCGUGGCUUGGGACCGGAAGGCUCGAGGGGUACGUCCGGGGUAGGAGUGAAAUCCCGUAAUCCUGGACGGACCGCCGAUGGCGAAAGCACCUCGAGAAGACGGAUCCGACAGUGAGGGACGAAAGCUAGGGUCUCGAACCGGAUUAGAUACCCGGGUAGUCCUAGCCGUAAACAAUGUUCACUAGGUGUGGCACAGGCUACGAGCCUGUGCUGUGCCGUAGGGAAGCCGAGAAGUGAACCGCCUGGGAAGUACGUCCGCAAGGAUGAAACUUAAAGGAAUUGGCGGGGGAGCACUACAACCGGAGGAGCCUGCGGUUUAAUUGGACUCAACGCCGGAC
rnacentral:rRNA from 1 species